AUAUAUGCAUACACACAGCCAUAUAUAAACGACACAUUUUCCCAUUCGAGUCAAUACAGAAUUAAAGAUAGUAUUUACGGAAUUUUGAUUUAUUGUCGGAUGAUUUUUGG